CUUACCAGUGUCCAUCCUGGGGCCCGGCACCGCGGCUUCCUACCGCUUUUAUAGGGGAGAGGCUGGGCCGUGACGUCACGGGCGCGCGGAGGAAGAUGGCCUUUACAUAGGAAAUGACAGGGGAAAAUGAUUGAUAAGGAGUUACUAUCCAAGCUUGGGCUCUCUGGACAAAUCAAGUGACUGUCGGCGCUCGCUUCGGCCAACGCACCAAGGAUUCAAAUCCGCCCCCCGCCAGC